UACGUAGGGUGCGAGCGUUAAUCGGAAUUACUGGGCGUAAAGCGUGCGCAGGCGGUUCGUUAAGUUCGUCGUGAAAGCCCCGGGCUCAACCUGGGAGGUGCGAUGGAAACUGGCGGGCUUGAGUGUGGCAGAGGGGGGUGGAAUUCCGCGUGUAGCAGUGAAAUGCGUAGAGAUGCGGAGGAACACCGAUGGCGAAGGCAGCCCCCUGGGCCAACACUGACGCUCAGGCACGAAAGCGUGGGGAGCAAACAGG
rnacentral:rRNA from 1 species